CUGCCACAAAGAUUUUUCUGUACUAACUCAUCUGAUUUUAAAAUAGCCAAUGAAUAAAUGAACGAUUGAACAAACAAGAUAUCAUCUUAGAUGAUAUAUCCCAUGUCUGACUUAUCCUUAGAUACGUCAGAGUAUAUCUAAGUGUGUACAGACAUGAGCAGCAUUUCAAAGACAGAUCGGAAGGGUGUGAUGACAGAUUUAAGACUUAAGGCCAUGAACAGAAUGUCAGAGCACUCUCAAGUAUCACCUCUGGGUUCUCAAUUAUGAUGUCAGUUGAGACUCUUGACAAAUCAGGUGCCUGAAUGUAUUUUCCCUCCUAGUUGCCCACAGCUCAUGGUGGUAAGACUUCAGAAUUACGUAAAACUUGCAGUGAGAUCUUCCUCUAGGUUUGAUGUCAUCUGCAGAUGGAGGUCUAAGCAGAAAACACAAGCAUAGUGACUGUAUCAGCUCAGAAAUCUCUGAAGAGCAACCUGACCACCUGUUCAUCUUCUCCAAGAUAUCAAAUGCUGAGCAGGCUGCACUGUCACCUGUGGGCAUUCAUCUUACCAUAAAGUGAAGGAAGCAAGUGGACAAAAGGAGAUCAUAUGCAAUUCUUCUUUCCCCUACUUCUCUCCAGUUUUGUCCUCAGAAUCAAUAAAGUGUCCAACAGGAAGCAUUUUACCCUCCAAAGCAUCCAUUUG
rnacentral:lncRNA from 1 species